rnacentral:rRNA from 1 species
GGGGGACAACGCGGGGAAACCCACGCUAAUACCGCAUACGCCCUACGGGGGAAAGCGGGGGAUCGUAAGACCUCGCGCUAUGAGAUGAGCCUGCGUUAGAUUAGCUAGUUGGUAGGGUAAAGGCCUACCAAGGCGACGAUCUAUAGCUGGUCUGAGGGGACGAUCAGCCACACUGGGACUGAGGCACGGCCCAGACUCCUACGGGAGGCAGCAGUGGGGAAUAUUGGACAAUGGGCGCAAGCCUGAUCCAGCAAUACCGCGUGUGUGAAGAAGGCCUUAGGGUUGUAAAGCACUUUCAAUGGGGAGGAAAACCUGCCGGUCAAUACCCGGUAGCUUGACAUUACCUAUAGAGGAAGCACCGGCUAACUCCGUGCCAGCAGCCGCGGUAAUACGGAGGGUGCGAGCGUUAAUCGGAAUUACUGGGCGUAAAGCGUGCGUAGGCGGCUCGUUAAGUCAGAUGUGAAAGCCCUGGGCUCAACCUGGGAACUGCAUUUGAAACUGGCGAGCCAGAGUUGAGUAGAGGGGAGUGGAAUUUCAGGUGUAGCGGUGAAAUGCGUAGAUAUCUGAAGGAACACCAGUGGCGAAGGCGACUCCCUGGACUCAAACUGACGCUGAGGUACGAAAGCGUGGGUUGCAAACAGGAUUAGAUACCCUGGUAGUCCACGCUGUAAACGAUGUCAACUAGCCGUUGGUCCUAUUUACAGGAUUAGUGGCGCAGCUAACGCAUUAAGUUGACCGCCUGGGGAGUACGGCCGCAAGGUUAAAACUCAAAUGAAUUGACGGGGGCCCGCACAAGCGGUGGAGCAUGUGGUUUAAUUCGAUGCAACGCGAAGAACCUUACCUACCCUUGACAUCCAGAGAAUCUGUUAGAGAUAGUAGA